AUUAUGACAAAGAUGAUAUGAUGUCACUGUCAUUAUUAUGUCACAUAAGAUUAUGACUUCUAUCUUGCUAGUAGACCCUCUCCAUUAACUCUCUCUCUUUCUGAUUGAGUGUAAGCUGCUAUAUGAAGGGAUCCACAAGACGAAUAAUUAAGGGGGACCUCUGAUCAACAGCCAGCAAGGAACUGAAUCCCUCAGACCCACAACUCACAAGAAACUGAAGCUGAAGCAGAUUCUUCCUCAGUCAAGCUUCAGAAAGAAAUCAUGAGUGACCACUCAGCUCAAGGCUUCUCUGCUGAUGCCAUCCAGUGAGUUUCCUGGCAGCCAUCUUUUUAUGAAAGAAUAGAGGUCAGCCUGACUGCACUUCCAGAUGAUUAGAGCCAAACUGACAGGGGUUUGUGAAUCAGAAUGAUGGCUUUGCAUUUUAGCUUAGGGAAGGACCUGCUUUGCAGAAAGGAUCUCAUUGAGAAUAGCAAAAGGAAGUUGGGAACCAUUACAGUGCCCAGCUGUAUUGGUAGAGGAGACCAACCACACCCUCCACAGCACAGCACCUGGAGAGGAACUGCUGCCAUGACCAUAGAGGACACCCUCUGGAUACAAUGCCAGACUUGAUGUGGGACUGACCAACCUAUGGACCCCAGGCACCACCACCCAGACCUGCUCAGCACCUGAAACAUUCACAGCCGUGGAGAGAGAACUGUUCACUGCUACCAUCCACACUUCUGGGCCCCUUCAGCAGCAGGGUGACAAGGAAGAGGGAAAUCGACUUGGAAAAGAGGGGACCUCUGACCCAAGAGUUCGGUCAAUGCAUAUGUUGGCAGCCAGCUGCACAUCGCACCAAAUAUGAACUUCAAAUAGAAGAAAGCCUCAUUUGGAAGAAAGCUCAUGCACAGACUGUAAAUAUUUCAGAGCAGAUUGUGUCUCUGUAGAUUAAGUAAGUUGUGAAAGUCUGAACCUCUGCCAAAAUUUUAAGACCUUGACCUUUACAUCUCUGAGUUUCUAUCUGUCAUUUUUCCUUUCUAUCUGUCAUUUUACCUUUCAUACUUAUAAAAUGGAAUUCAUAAUCUUCUCAGCCUACCAAGUGUUAGUGUUCUAGGGAUUCAGAUAAAAUAUGUAUGAAAUUACUUUGAAUUACCUAAAACAUGACAUUUAUUCAUUCAACAAGUAUUUGUUGAACAUAUACGUCCUUCCUGGUGCUGUGUCAGGUGCUGG
rnacentral:lncRNA from 1 species